rnacentral:rRNA from 1 species
CCUACGGGUGGCAGCAGUGAGGAAUAUUGGUCAAUGGGCGCGAGCCUGAACCAGCCACGCAGCGUGAAGGAUGACUGCUCUACGGGUUGUAAACUUCUUUUAUAAAGGAAUAAAGUGAGGCACGUGUGCCUUUUUGUCUGUACUUUAUGAUUAAGGAUCGGCUAACUCCGUGCCAGCAGCAGCGGUAAUACGGAGGAUCCGAGCGUUAUCCGGAUUUAUUGGGUUUAAAGGGAGCGUAGAUGGGUUGUUAAGUCAGUUGUGAAAGCUUGCGGCUCAACCGUGAAAUUGCAAUUGAUACUGGCAGUCUUGAGUACAGUAGAGGUAGGCGGAAUUCGUGGUGUAGCGGUGAAAUGCUUAGAUAUCACGAAGAACACCGAUUGCGAAGGCAGCUUACUAAACUGCCACUGACAUUGAUGCUCGAAAGUGUGGGUAUCAAACAGGAUUAGAUACCCCAGUAGUC